GACUUGAUAGCGGAUGGUCCGCACCUGCUAUCAAUGGAGCUUUCAAGCAAAUUCCUGAAGCAGGAUGAAACCGGUUCGAUUCCGGGUCGAGUCA